AAUCAACGCUGGCGGCGUGCCUCAGACAUGCAAGUCGAACGCGAAAGUUCCCUUCGGGGGAUAAGUAGAGUGGCGUCCGGGUGAGUAACACGUAGGUAAUCUACCUUUGGGUGGGGAAGUAACAACCGGAAACGGUUGCUAAUACCGCAUAAUGCAGCGGCACCACAUGGUGACAGUUGUUAAAGCGGGGGAUCGCAAGACCUCGCGCCUAAAGAGGAGCCUGCGGCGGAUUAGCUAGUUGGAGGGUAACGGCCUACCAAGGCAACGAUCCGUAGCCGGCCUGAGAGGGCGGUCGGCCACACUGACACUGAAAUACGGGUCAGACUCCUACGGGAGGGCANCAGUCGGGGAAUUUUGGGUCGAAUAGGGCGGAAAGCCUGACCCAAGCAACGCCGCGUGAAGGAUG
rnacentral:rRNA from 1 species